GUCCAUUGAUACUGGUUAUUGAUACUGAUAAGUUGAAAUGAAUCACCUUUUGUCCAGGGCUUUCCAAAGCUUUGUCUUCAGGGUAUUUCUCAGCUUAGGGCUGCUUAGCACCAGGAUGCUGGAGUGCAGACAGAUGCCUGCAUAGGUCACCACUUCCCAGGCCCAGUGCCACUGACGCCGCAGGGCUGUGAUUUUCAUAAACGCAAUAAUCAGGGACAGGAAAUACGAUGCGUAGGACACAAGAAAGAAGGUAAGUGACUUCAAGGCCAUGAUGUGAGCCUGGGUGCUGGGAUCACAUGAGCCGGGUCUGCGGGCCCUCAUCUGUCCCAAGUGCUGGUGCAGUGAGAAUAUGAGCAAAAGAGUGGAUACCAGGAACAGCAGGAAGGGAAUCAACAAUACAAGCACUAAAUUAGACAGAGAAAAGUACCUAUGGAAGGUCUGUGCUCUAUCAGCCAGAGUGUGGUUUCCAUGGGAACUCUGCGAGGCAAUCAUCUGUAUAAGAAUUACAUUGCUAGCUGCUGCUGGAAUGACUGUCACAGCAGAGAUGAUCAGGGAGCCCAGCAGCAGCCUGGGCACUGACCGAGAAAUCCUCCACUUCAGCCAGAAGAAGAUGGGAUGAGAGAAGGAUGAGAUCUUCACACAGUAGAAGACAGCAAGCCAGGCAGUAAGCCAGUAAGUGAGAAUGUUGAUAAAGUUCCAGAGGAUGUUGAAAUAGUAAACUUUGGAACAAAAGUUAAAGGAGUCAAUGAGGUUGUUUAGGAGGGCCAGCCCAUGCAGGCAGAACCUAGAGGCAGCUAGACAGGCCACAAUCAUGUCACAUGCAGGCAGUGUGAGGCAUCUCACCCACUCCCUGCCCAGCACAGCAACCAUGAAGCCAUUCUGCAACAUCGCAGCCAAGGUCUCCAGGAAAAAGAUGACCACGAAGAUCAACAUGGGUGAGAAGGGCAUCUUCUCCAGGGACGUUCUGCUCAGACUUGGCUCCUACUCUGAAGUACGAGGACACAUCCACAGGGAAAAACAGCCUCUGUGGCCAAGCCACUCUGUUGAGACCAGAAAGGCAGGAAAUAUGGAACUAUACCUCCAGAGCUAUAGACUGUAUCAUGAUAAAGGAAGACACAGGGUACAGACAAUGCAGAUCCACAAUGAAAGAAAGGCAAAGGAUCGCCAGGACCAUUGUAAAAGCCGAUCUCAGGGUGAAUGGUGGGACACUGAGCAUGGGGACAAGUCCAGAUUGGAGCAGGACAAGAGGCUCCAGGAAGGACUUUCUCACGCAGAUAAAAUCUUAGAAUACCUGAUGACUCCAAAAUUGCUGAGAAAGACUUAGACCAUUGAUGAAGAGUUUGAGAACAAUACCAAACAAAACAAGACACUUAUUAAUGCAACAGAAAACAACAAUUUGUGCAGGAAAGAAAAU
rnacentral:lncRNA from 1 species